GAUAAACGCUGGCGGCGUGCAUAACACAUGCAAGUCGAACGAUGAAGAUUAAAAGAUUUCUUCGGAAUGAACUUAAUUGGAUUAGUGGCGGACGGGUGAGUAACGCGUGAGUAACCUGCCUUGUACAAGGGGAUAGCCGUUGGAAACGACGAAUAAUACCCUAUGACAUCAAAUAAUCGCAUGAUAAUUUGAUCAAAGAUUUAUCGGUAUAAGAUGGACUCGCGUCUGAUUAGCUAGUUGGUAGAGUAAAAGCCUACCAAGGCAACGAUCAGUAGCCGGCUUGAGAGAGUGUACGGCCACAUUGGGACUGAGACACGGCCCAGACUCCUACGGGAGGCAGCAGUGGGGAAUUUUGCACAAUGGGGGAAACCCUGAUGCAGCGACGCCGCGUGAUUUAGAAGGCCUUCGGGUGGUAAAAUCUUUUGUAUGGGAAGAAAAUGACAGUACCAUACGAAUAAGGACCGGCUAAUUACGUG
rnacentral:rRNA from 1 species